rnacentral:rRNA from 1 species
UACGUAGGGUGCGAGCGUUAAUCGGGAUUACUGGGCGUAAAGCGUGCGCAGGCGGUGAGCUGUGUCCGAUGUGAAAGCCCCGGGCUUAACCUGGGAAUGGCAUUGGAAACUGGCUCGCUGGAGUGUGGCAGAGGGGGGUGGAAUUCCACGUGUAGCAGUGAAAUGCGUAGAGAUGUGGAGGAACACCGAUGGCGAAGGCAGCCCCCUGGGUUAACACUGACGCUCAGGCACGAAAGCGUGGGGAGCAAACAGG